AGAAAGAAAAAAAGCAGGGGCAUUUUUUUUUUAGAAUAGUUUCAGCCAGUAAUUUUGUCAUCGUUUCCAGUGCGUUUAACUGAAACAUUUAACAAACACUCUGAAAGACUUAUUAUUCAUGUCCAGUGUUGUGUGGAAGCCCUAACUUCAGUUUUGGGUGCCCACAGUAUUACUGAAUCACAACCCCUGUAUGUGCUUACGUCUUAAAUCUCCAAUCUCUGCCUCAAAGUUUUUGUGGACCAUGGAGAUUUUAUGCUCUAAGGCUAAGCGAAGCAGCUAUUUCUACGCUUUAGUUCAUGCUUUUCCAUUUAUAAGGAAAACUCCCUGCGUGUACUGGCGAAUUAUGAAAAACUUCUCAGGAAACUAAAGGGUGGUAUUAGAAGAUCAUCCUUUCCUCUGGCUUUGCCUCGACUCUGUCUCCUUCCACCUCAUCAGCCAUGAUGAAUGAUUCUCCACUACAUCUCUUCUAAUGCCCCCAAUUUUUACCUUCCUAUCUAAUGCCUAAUUCUCCCAUCCCUUUCCCUUCUUGGGUCCUUGCCUCCCAAUUCAGCCCCCGUGUACUCCCAGUGCCGCCGGGGUACUUCGCUCAGGCCUCCCCCAGCACUCCCUUCCCAGUCCUCCUGGCCCUGAGGCUCCCCCCACCCCACCCCCUUCCCGGCUCCGGCUCCCUUCUCGGCAACUCUCCCUCCUUACCUCUCUUUGACCUCCUUUAUUCUCCUUCACAGACUGGCCCUUGACUUCUCGGCCUCUUCUUUCCCUUCUUUUCCUGCAAUGUCCUGCCCCUAUUGGGGUCUCUCCUUCGCACCCUUCUCUCGGGGUCCCAUCCCUUCUGACGCCAAACCCCAGCAUUCCUCCACGGCUCGGCCUGGUCGGCUUUCGCCUGAUUUGGUUCCCGUGCCCCUGGGCUGGGAAACAAGUGUGCGGUGCCGAGUGGGGGCAAGCACCCCCCGCGGCCGUGGCCCCUGCCUCGCCCCCCUCCGCCCCUCCCGAGUCCCGGUUGCGGCGCUUCCUGGGCGGAUGGUUGGGACUCGCUGCCGCAGCUGCGGUUCUGCUGUGUCAUGCAAGAAGAAGGAGGCGGCGGCGGCGGCCGGAGCUGGAGGGGGAGGAGGGGAGGAACCUGAUCUCUCCGGUAGCGAAGGGCUGGAGGCAAACGCCGAGCUCCCCCAGAGCCGCCCGGGAGCAGGGAGGGCACUGCUACCCCGAGGGGCCCUCCCCGCGGGGCAGAUGGUCCUGGGUGAUGACAAAAAGAGCAAUUUGCUUUUCCUCGUCUAUCUGACUCCAUCUUACCACCUUGAAUCAGUUGAUGGAGUCUGGAGAAUCCUUUUCGGUGCCACUUCUGUAAUACACUGUAACCACUCACAAGGAUGCCCAGCCCCAGUUUCCCACCAAAGAGAAAGAUGACUUUUAGCAGGAAGAGCUGUAUCACCUCUUCUAGAAACCACCAGCUUCUCAGUCUGUUAUUGUUUCCACAGAAAGGUGCUACUGCUCUCAGGAGAGAAUGUAGAGAAUAUUGAAGGAGAAAAGGUUUUGACUUUGUCCUGAAAACAUGGAAACCUUCUACCUAGCAAAAAAGAUGUCAUGGCUUUUCAAUUCUGUGUCCUGGAAUUAAAAACUAAAGUAAUAGAUGCAGUUUAAACAAUACUUAAAAUGUUUUGACAUCCUGUAUUAUUUAGUUAAACCAGAGUUUGGCAAACUUUUUCUGUAAAGGGCCAGAUGGGAAAUAUUUUUAGGCCAUACAGUCUCUUUCCCAACUACUCACCCCUGCCAUUGUAGUGUAAAAGUUGUCAUAGGUGAUAUGUAAAUGAAUGAGCAUGGCUGGGUUUCAAUUAAACUUUAUUUAUGAAUCCUGAGGUUUGAAUUUCAUGUAAUUUUCACAUAUUUUCAAAAUGCCAUUCUUUUUUUUUUAUCUUUCUCAGCUACUUAAAAAUGUGAAAACCAUUCUUAGCUCACAGGCCAUAUAAAAACAAGGGAUAUGCUGGAUUUGACUUAUGGAUAGUAGUUUAGCAUCCUCUGAUUAAGACAAAUAUGAAGAUCAUGUCAUGAGAGAGAUUUUCAGAUUCGGACUUCUGAAGAAAAUAAUGUUUUAUAUGUACUCCUUUAUUUUAACUACUCAAGUUUAUUUGAACAUACAAACACAUUUGCCUACAUCUGACUUAUUUGGGAAUAACAUAUGUCUUCUUAGUUCAGUAUUGAUUUAAGACUUUGCUGCUUCUCUUCCUUGUAAUGAAUGAAUGUGCAUGAAUGCAGUAUUUUUAUGAAGCAAACUGAAGAAUUCUUGUUACUUGACUAUAAAUACCCAAACCAAGAGAGGACACAGUAAUUCUUUUUUUUUAAUAUUUUAUUUAUUUAUUCAUGAGAGAGAUAGAGAGAGAGGCAGAGACACAGGCUGAGAGAGAAGAAGGCUCCAUGCAAGGAGCCUGAUGUGGGACUCGAUCCCAGGACUUCAGGAUCACGCCCCGGGCUGAAGGCAGGCGCUCAGCUGCUGAGCCACCCAGGCGUCCCCAGACACAGCAAUUCUAAUCACAUUUUUAAACUGCAUUAAUUCAUUCAGUAAGUACUUGCUAAUGAUCUGCUUCUUACAUAGUGCAGUACUGAAUGUUACAGAAUUUGAGAUAAAAGAAGAUAGAAGAUAGAUGAAUAGGUAGAUACUUAGGUAGAUGAAAAAUCUAGUGGCUGAUAGGUGUCGAUGAAGGUUGUUUGGAUGUAUCACAAUAUAAAUGAAGUCAAUGUAGUCACUUUAGCAACACAUUGACAGGUCAUUAGACAAAACUAAGUUUAAAUCCAAGCUCUUUUGUAUCCAAGAUGUGUGACCUUGGGCUGAUUACAUAAACCCUAUAAGCCUCAGUUUCCUCUUUUUAAAAUGGGGACAAUAAUACCUACCUCUCAAGGAUGUUGUGAGAAUUAAAUAAGAUAGUGUAAGGUAAAUCAGCUAGUGUGGUAUCUGGCACAUGGUAAAUAAUCAGUAAGUGGUGGCUAUGGCUGUAUUAUGCCAAUAUGAAGCUGUGUAAUUUGUUCAAAAGAAGCACGCAAUCAAAGGCAAAGCAGAGGAGCCUUGUGACUUAAGAACUUAUGAGCACAAAUAGAAACCCACAAACCCGAGGGUUAAUGCCUGGUAGAGAAGAUUUGGGUGAAAAUAAAAGCAGAAGUGACAUUGUCA
rnacentral:lncRNA from 12 species